UACGGGGGGUGCAAGCGUUGUCCGGAUUUAUUGGGUUUAAAGGGUGCGUAGGCGGCCCUGUAAGUCAGUGGUGAAAUACUGCAGCUUAACUGUAGCAUUGCCAUUGAUACUGUAGGGCUUGAGUACAGAUGAGGUAGGCGGAAUUGAUGGUGUAGCGGUGAAAUGCAUAGAUACCAUCAAGAACACCGAUUGCGAAGGCAGCUUACUAAGCUGUAACUGACGCUGAGGCACGAAAGCGUGGGGAUCGAACAGG
rnacentral:rRNA from 1 species